rnacentral:rRNA from 1 species
UAGGGAAUCUUCGGCAAUGGACGAAAGUCUGACCGAGCAACGCCGCGUGAGUGAAGAAGGUUUUCGGAUCGUAAAACUCUGUUGUUAGAGAAGAACAAGGACGUUAGUAACUGAACGUCCCCUGACGGUAUCUAACCAGAAAGCCACGGCUAACUACGUGCCAGCAGCCGCGGUAAUACGUAGGUGGCAAGCGUUGUCCGGAUUUAUUGGGCGUAAAGCGAGCGCAGGCGGUUUCUUAAGUCUGAUGUGAAAGCCCGCGGCUCAACCGGGGAGAGUCAUUGGAAACUGGGAGACUUGAGUGCAGAAGAGGUGAGAGGAAUUCCAUGUGUAGCGGUGAAAUGCGUAGAUAUAUGGAAGAACACCAGUGGCGAAAGCGGCUCUCUGGUCUGUAACUGACACUGAGGCUCGAAAGCGAGGGGAGCAAACAGG